AGCAGUCGCCGCGGGAAUACGUAGGUGGCAAGCGUUGUCCGGAAUUAUUGGGCGUAAAGGGCUCGCAGGCGGUUUCUUAAGUCUGAUGUGAAAGCCCCCGGCUCAACCGGGGAGGGUCAUUGGAAACUGGGAAACUUGAGUGCAGAAGAGGAGAGUGGAAUUCCACGUGUAGCGGUGAAAUGCGUAGAGAUGUGGAGGAACACCAGUGGCGAAGGCGACUCUCUGGUCUGUAACUGACGCUGAGGAGCGAAAGCGUGGGGAGCGAACAGGAUUAGAUACCCGCGUAGUCCCUGUCUCUUAUAC
rnacentral:rRNA from 1 species